rnacentral:misc_RNA from 1 species
GGAAGGAUCAUUAUUGAAUUGAACUCGGUAUGGGUUGUUGCUGGCCUCCUAGAGGCAUCGUGCACGCCUUUCCGUUUCUCUCUUUACCCCCCUGUGCACCCUUUGUAGGCUUGGAUACUUUCGAGGAAACUCGGUUUGGGGGGUUGUAAGUGCCAUCAUUCCUACUUCCCCUACAUUCCCGGCCUAUGUCCUUUCAUAUACCCAUUGUAUGUCAUCGGAAUGAACGAAUUGGGCCUUUACAAGCUCGAUAUAAUUUAUUACAACUUCAACAACGGAUCUCUUGGCUCUCGCAUCGAUGAAGAACGCAGCGAAAUGCGAUAAGUAAUGUGAAUUGCAGAAUUCAGUGAAUCAUCGAAUCUUUGAACGCACCUUGCGCUCCUUGGUAUUCCGAGGAGCAUGCCUGUUUGAGUGUCAUUAAAUUCUCAAAUCCCCAUUAUGAUUGAUUUCGUAUGGGAAUUUGGAUCUGGGAGCGUGCAGGCCUAGUCUGCUCUCCUAAAUGCAUUAGUCGGACUUGUUGCUGACGGCGUUGGCGUGAUAAUUAUCUAUGCCUUCGUCUCUGCUCUCUAUGGUCCAGCUUCUAACCGUCCUUUAGGACCCUUUCUUGACAAUUUGACCUCAAAUCAGGUAGGACUACCCCGCUGAACUUAAGCAUAUCAAUAAGCGGAGGAAAAGAAACUAACAAGGAUUCCCCUAGUAACUGCGAGUGAAGCGGGAAAAGCUCAAAUUUAAAAUCUGGCAGCCUUUGGUUGUCCGAGUUGUAAUCUAGAGAAGUGUUAUCCGCGCUGGACCGUGUACAAGUCUCCUGGAACGGAGCGUCAUAGAGGGUGAGAAUCCCGUCUUUGACACGGACUACCAGGGCUAUGUGAUGCGCUCUCAAAGAGUCGAGUUGUUUGGGAAUGCAGCUCAAAAUGGGUGGUAAAUUCCAUCUAAAGCUAAAUAUUGGCGAGAGACCGAUAGCGAACAAGUACCGUGAGGGAAAGAUGAAAAGAACUUUGGAAAGAGAGUUAAACAGUACGUGAAAUUGUUGAAAGGGAAACGCUUGAAGUCAGUCGCGUUCUUCUGGGAGUCUUUGUUCAACGAGGAUACUUCCAGUGGGACGGGUCAGCAUCAAUUUUGACCGUCGGAAAAAGGUCAGGGAAUGUGGCACCUCUUUUGGUGUGUAUAGCCUCUGAUUGUAUACGGCGGUUGGAUUGAGGAACUCAGCACGCCGAAAGGCCAGGUAGCGAUACCAUGUCCGUGCUUAGGAUGUUGGCAUAAUGGCUUUAAUCGACCCGUCUUGAAACACGGACCAAGGAGUCUAACAUGCCUGCGAGUAUUUGGGUGGAAAACCCAUAUGCGUAAUGAAAGUGAAAGUUGAGAUCUCUGUCGUGGAGAGCAUCGACGCCCGGACCAGACCUUUUGUGACGGAUCCGCGGUAGAGCAUGUAUGUUGGGACCCGAAAGAUGGUGAACUAUGCCUGAAUAGGGUGAAGCCAGAGGAAACUCUGGUGGAGGCUCGUAGCGAUUCUAACGUGCAAAUCGAUCGUCGAAUUUGGGUAUAGGGGCGAAAGACUAAUCGAACCAUCUAGUAGCUGGUUCCUGC